rnacentral:misc_RNA from 1 species
GGAAAAAGAUUAAAUAGCUAAACGAAAACUAAAUAACAUAACCUAAAAAUGCAAAUAAAACACAAAAUAAAUACUAAAUUACAGCAAAGUGUUUAAUAAUAGUAGGCUUAUCUUUUAAGGUAUUGGGCAACAUAUAACCAAUUCUAAAUAUUGAUAAAAUCCCUCUCUUAUGGAACUGUUGAAAAGGUUUUUAACACAUCAUGCCUGCCAUCUUCUAAGGCUAUCAUUUUCACUUAUACAUGUAUUUUUGUUUUUGUUUUAACUUUAAAGUUUGACACUUCCCCUUUUCUCUUCAUGGUGCCUAUUAAUUUCUUGUCUUUC